AGGUUUUUCUUUCUCAGUAGAAACCUACCUGCGCUGUAAGGAGCCUGGAAUUACGACUAACUCUAUUCCAGUUUUUAGAAAACUGAGAUUUUGCGACAAAACCCAACAUGAGGAUUCUAAUUUUUGCCUGUAUUCUCUCGAUACUUCUUCCAGCUCUUCAGGGUAAACCCGGGCACAUGGUUCAUGAUUUUUAUAAGUGUGCAUCAGAUUACUACAGGAAAAAUUUCAAACAUUGUCGCGACACAACGGAGUACUCGCGACGAGGACGAGGACUCCAGCAGGGACAGUAUAACUCAUCCCCACACUCAUCCAGCUCAUCAAUCACUCUAG